GACAGAGGGUGCAAACGUUGUUCGGAAUUACUGGGCGUAAAGCGCGUGUAGGUGGCAAGGCAAGUCGGGUGUGAAAGCCCGGGCUCAACCUGGAAUUGCAUUCGAGACUGAAUAGCUAGGUACGGUAGAGGGAAGUGGAAUUCCGGUGUAGCGGUGAAAUGCGUAGAUAUCGGAAGGAACAUCAGUGGCGAAAGCGACUUCCUGGACCAGUACCGACGUUCAGGCACGAAAGCGUGGGGGAGCAACAGG
rnacentral:rRNA from 1 species